rnacentral:rRNA from 1 species
GUGAACGCUGGCGGUAGGCCUAACACAUGCCGGUCGAACGGCAGCACAGUAAGAGCUUGCUCUUACGGGUGGCGAGUGGCGGACGGGUGAGGAAUACAUCGGAAUCUACUUUUUCGUGGGGGAUAACGUAGGGAAACUUACGCUAAUACCGCAUACGACCUACGGGUGAAAGCAGGGGAUCUUCGGACCUUGCGCGAUUGAAUGAGCCGAUGUCGGAUUAGCUAGUUGGCGGGGUAAAGGCCCACCAAGGCGACGAUCCGUAGCUGGUCUGAGAGGAUGAUCAGCCACACUGGAACUGAGACACGGUCCAGACUCCUACGGGAGGCAGCAGUGGGGAAUAUUGGACAAUGGGCGCAAGCCUGAUCCAGCCAUACCGCGUGGGUGAAGAAGGCCUUCGGGUUGUAAAGCCCUUUUGUUGGGAAAGAAAAGCAGCAGGUUAAUACCCCGCUGUUCUGACGGUACCCAAAGAAUAAGCACCGGCUAACUUCGUG